AGUCGGUCCUAAAAAGUCCACUUAGAUCUUUUCCAAGUUCAACUUUAGAGGACAGAAUUGAGCUAGCUAGCUAGCUAACUCGUUUAGAAGAAAAUGCUUGGCAUCAGUAUAUCUGGUGGGAUGGAGUCCAGGGUCCAGCCGGUGGUGAAGGUGGAGGAGAUCUUCCCACCUGUGAGGUUGUGAAGGUAAAGAAGACUCAGGUGUCACCAGGAGAUGGACGGGUCACUCUCUCGCCCCACAGGCCGGGUUCCAGCUGGUGAGUGUACGGGAAGCCGUCAGCAACAAGGCCAAAGACCCCAUGGUGCUGGUGGUCAAAGUGCCUCACCAGCCUUGAAGGAACACAACAGCACACUCUAGUGGUCACUUUUAUAUUUGACCAUGACGCAUGUCAGCUUUAAUGAUCAACAUGUCACACUUAGUUAGUUCUGUGGACUAUAAAAGCAUCUUUGGUCCAAUCACAGUGGCUCUUUGUCUUCACCAGCAGCCAAUCAGCAGCCAGCAGUCUUCUCUUCUGAUGCAAUAAGUCCAAGUCCAGACAGUAUUUCAUAAAAAAUCGAUUCUCAUCGUAAUUGUGAUUUAAUUUGAUUCUAAAUCGAUUCAUUAUUUUCAAAAAUCAAUUCGUUUUUGUUGCAAUUUUUA